CAGCAGGCACCCAGCACGGCUCACCUGAAUUUACCCGGCCCUGCCACCAAGCCCCUGAACUCAGAAGCCAGGGCUGGGAGUCAGGAAGGGCUUAGGGACAGGGACAGCAUUGGGGUUCUUCCCCAGCUCUGGGAAAGGGCCAUGGAAGCAAAAUAACCUCCCUGAGACCAAAUUUCCUAAGCUGUGAAACAGGGUAGUUGUGCAGAUGGUGGGAGCUAAAAUUCAACGCUUCCUCAGAACUCGUCCACAAUGACCUGUAUAACAAAACACAGGGGUGGUGGGACACCGCAUGGGGGAGGGAGAUGGAAUUCCCCUUUCCUCCUUAACAUUUAUUGGAUUAUAAGUCUUUAUAUCCAUUGCCCUCCCCAAGAGUAAACCCCACACUUAUCCUAAGGGCUGUCACUCCCUGGGAACCCUCACGGGCAUCCAAUCAGCAGAAGGGCAGCUGUCUGGACCAACCUAGCCCAAAACGCAGAUGCGCAUCACCUGCUCUGGAGCGUCAGUUUCCAACACGUACGCCCUCCUGGUGCACCCUAGAGGGGCCGCUAUCCAACAACAACCAUUCCUCUGGAUUUCCUAUUGCUGCUUUGCUCUCAUUGUCUAUUUUUUUCUUUGCAGAGGAGGUAGUCUGGAAGACAGUCUAAGAGGACAGGAAUUGAUUUGACAUUUCACUCUGUGGGCUCCCUGCCCUCCCCAGUCAUGGGAUGGAGGAGAAGGAGGUGGAGGAGGAGGCCAGGAGGGAGAUGUGACAGCAGCAGUUACAAGAUUAAGAGGAAAAGGAGCAUAAACAGCAACACCACUCACAUCUUUCGCAAACAAUAACAAUAACUGCUAACAUUCUCGGGGCACCCACCAUGCUCUGGGGGUCUACACACAUCAUCAUAUUUAAUCCUCACCAUGGCCCAGGAGAGGUUCACAUCUUACAAGUAAGGCCACCAAGGUUUGAGGACGUACGGCCACUGUGUGAAGCUGCCAUAGCUAGUAACCGGAGAAGGAGGUUCCUCAAGCUGAAAAGGAUGUUUGUCUACACAUCUUGAGCGCGCUCAGCACUUCAGGCAGGGAAUGCGGAAUGAAGUGACCAGUUUCACAACAUGCCUCAUCUUUCCUUCAUUCAGC
rnacentral:lncRNA from 1 species